rnacentral:rRNA from 1 species
CCGGAGAAUGUUAUCACGGGAGACACACGGCGGGUGCUAACGUCCGUCGUGAAGAGGGAAACAACCCAGACCGCCAGCUAAGGUCCCAAAGUCAUGGUUAAGUGGGAAACGAUGUGGGAAGGCCCAGACAGCCAGGAUGUUGGCUUAGAAGCAGCCAUCAUUUAAAGAAAGCGUAAUAGCUCACUGGUCGAGUCGGCCUGCGCGGAAGAUGUAACGGGGCUAAACCAUGCACCGAAGCUGCGGCAGCGACACUAUGUGUUGUUGGGUAGGGGAGCGUUCUGUAAGCCUGUGAAGGUGGCCUGUGAGGGUUGCUGGAGGUAUCAGAAGUGCGAAUGCUGACAUAAGUAACGAUAAAGCGGGUGAAAAGCCCGCUCGCCGGAAGACCAAGGGUUCCUGUCCAACGUUAAUCGGGGCAGGGUGAGUCGACCCCUAAGGCGAGGCCGAAAGGCGUAGUCGAUGGGAAACGGGUUAAUAUUCCCGUACUUGGUGUUACUGCGAAGGGGGGACGG